ACCCGCUGAAUUUAAGCAUAUCAAUAAGCGGAGGAAAAGAAACUAACCAGGAUUCCCUUGGUAACGGCGAGUGAAGAGGGAAGAGCCCAGCACCGAAGCCUGCGGCAGUUUUGCUGUUAGGCAAUGUGGUGUGUGGGUCGGCUCGCGGGACCAUCACUCCACUCGAAGUCCAGCAUUGAGUAUGGCAAUCACUGGAUUUGGCCCAUAGAGGGUGAGAGGCCCGUACGGGUGGAGGUUCAGACAUGUACGAUGGUUCACCAGGCCGGCCUCAGAGUCGGGUUGUUUGAGAUUGCAGCCCAAAGAGGGUGGUAAACUCCAUCCAAGGCUAAAUAUUGCCACGAGUCCGAUAGCGAACAAGUACCAUGAGGGAAAGUUGAAAAGUACUCUGAAGAGAGAGUAAACAGUACGUGAAGCCGCAUGCAGGUAAACGGGUGGCGUCAAGCUGCGAGCCCGGAGGAUUCAGCUGACUGGGAUGUAGUGUACGCGCGCCUGGGGCGUCGAGAGGCCGGAGUAAGAUGUGGCGGUCCACUCUUCUGUUAAGAGUGGGGUGUGAUCAGUGUGCGCUUGCGUAUGCUGGUUAUUGCUAUGUAUGCCGGGUGGGUGCCGGAACAUGCCGUUCGUCUGUUGGGCCACCUAGUCAGUGCAUUUUCUCCGUGGUGAACACCACGACCGGUGGAACUGUCAGUCUGCUGUGAUCAAGUCGUGUUCUCCUGGCGCGUUACUGUGUUGGGUGGGCACGAUCGCAGGCGGAGUCGGUGGACGGCGCAGUGGUGCUUCGGUACUGCCGCGUGUUAUCGUGCACUCUCUGUCGUAAGCGGUUAGUGGAGUUGACUAAGUGCUGUGACUACUUCUCUACUAGCCGGCGGAUCACAGUGGUGAAAGGGACUGUGCAGGGCACUGGAGUUGUCCAUCUCAUUCAAUAUGGUACUCGACACGCACGUUACAGGUGUUAUGAUAAUCGAGACGCGCCGCUGUGUGCCUGGUGUUAGGCCUGACUGUCGUGUUGCCUGCGCAAAGUAGGUCCGGCAGUGGUAUUGAUGCUUGGUAGUGGCAGUGUGUUGCGUGUCUUGGGUGUCUGUGGUACCGGGGAUGAAAUAGUCAGUGGUGCUGUGGUAGACGAGCUACCCGACCCGUCUUGAAACACGGACCAAGGAGUUUAACAUGUGUGCGAGUCAAAGGGUCCUACGAAACCCCUAGGCGUAGUGAAAGUAAAGUUCAUACUGCACUUCUGCACAUGCGCAGUGUAGUGUGGCGAGGUGAGAUCUCGUUGUACUCAUGACACACGCCGUGUAAACCUUUACUAGGCAUUAUUGGGGCAACGAGCGCAUCACCGGCCCGUCCCAUGAUGUGGUCAUGGGUGGACUUGUGCGUGGAGUGGUAAUACACAAAGCGUACAAAGCCUGUGCGUCAUCGGGGCGGAGCAUGAGCACACACGUUGAGACCCGAAAGAUGGUGAACUAUGCUUGCGUAGGUUGAAGCCAGAGGAAACUCUGGUGGAGGACCGUAGCGAUUCUGACGUGCAAAUCGAUCGUCAAACGUGAGUAUAGGGGCGAAAGACUAAUCGAACCAUCUAGUAGCUGGUUCCCUCCGAAGUUUCCCUCAGGAUAG
rnacentral:rRNA from 1 species